GGAUGGCCGAGUGGUCAAAGCGAUAGACUUUUACUCAAUGGCCCCACGGGUCAGUGGUUCGAGCCCAGUUGAGGGUUA
rnacentral:tRNA from 1 species